UCCAAACAAAUUGUAACAGACGGCGGAUAAUAAAAUGGCAUAACUACGCAAAGCAAGAAACUGAAGAAUUGGAUUGUUAAUGCAAGAGAACACAAGACAAAAUCAUUAAAUCAAGCAUAAUGAACUUUCUGAGAAAUAUAUUGUCAGUCUGACAGUGCUGCAUCUAUAAAGGAGCUCUGUUUUUUUUUUUUUUUUCUUUCCUUCUUUCUUUUUUUCUUCAAGACCAUUUCGCCAAUCUUUCAAGUGCCAAGUCACAGUCCACCAGCUCCUCUUGCAAACCCAUUUCUCAGCUAUUUUUGUACACAAAAACGAAAAGCUAUGGAAGGCAAAAGCUGUUCAAGUAGCAAAAGUCAUGAUAGAGAUGAUGGUGGGGAAAGAGUUGCAGCUGUGCAAUUUGAAGAGGUGCCCAAGCUUGGGGAGGUAAUUUGCGUCAAGCUUUCUGAUGGCUCCUGGUGGCCGGCAGUGGUUGUUGAGGACAAUGUCAGUGGAAGCAAUAAAGUAGGUGAUAGAUUAAUAGGGGAUGUUCAUGUUAGGCUGGAUGGAGGCUAUGAAUAGUUGGUGUCUUUUCCCAUUCUGAAGUUUCUUUUUCGGCUCCAAGUAGUACUCGAACUUGAGACUUCAUAGCCUGAGACGACAUUAGUACCACUUAGCUUAAGCUGGUUGAUGUUCUUAACCUUUUCUGUUCUUAUUGGCAAACCUCUAAAGAAUAAAAUGUCUUGUAUUUUCUGUUGUAGCAUGUGCGUGGAUCCUAUUAAAUGGUAUAAGUUUCAGAUUCUAAGUACUGACAUACAACACUUUGUGAUGCAUCCUAUUAUAUGUGUUUGAUUGAAUAUACUAUGCUUUCAACAGAUUUCGACGAUCAACUUGAUUUUCUCUCUGCAGCUUUGAAUCCAUAGAUAGUUGAGCAGAACAAUGGCUGUUACCAAGAAAUAUUUAGGAAAGCUCUGGAGCAGGUAACCUUUAUAGACCUUUUACUUGAGCUACUCCAAAGAAAGUCAUGAUUAUGGUUUGAAGCUGCAAGUGUAGCACAUAAAUGACACAUUAUAGUGAUUUGUGGUUUGCCUUGUAAUUGGAUAUGACCAUCGGAUCUUUCUUCAUCAUAAUCUGGUGGAGUAAAACAGAAAGUAGCCAAAUCUAAAGGUUAGUCAUCUUUCUUCCCAUUUUCCUGUUUACAUGGGCUUGUCUCUUUUAUGUUUUUCCCUUGAUGCAUUGUGCCAGAUAUGGCAUACAUGAAUGAGUUAGGCAUGAAUCCUGAUCAUACCUUGUAUUUCAUGAAUAAUAUCUGCAUUACUGUAGAGCAAGGUUUUAUCUGUCAUUGCUGAUGCUUAUUUUUAGUUGAGAAAGAUUUAAGUAGCCUAUCCCAACUAAUUGAGGACUAAAGUUUGAUUGAGUUGUGUGAAUUUAAAGAUGAUGGACUUCUUGAGAAUUUGAAUGCCUUGUGUGAGAGGUUUGAACUUUGAUGAACUGAGUGCAGGAAGAACCGAAGUCAUGCAAACUCUUGGUCUAAUUGCUCCUUCUGGAUGUCCAUUCCACAAAAUGGAUGCAGUUAACUAUCUGAGAUUUUGAUGUAUUUGUUACAACAUAAUAGAAAUUUUCCAUUUCCACUGGUGUAGUAAAAAUCCUUCUCCUGCUCCUUAUUCUUCUUCUUCUUUUUUUUUUUUUUGAGCUUUAAUUUUCAUGCAGGUUUUAGUAAUUGUGUACAGAUCAAAGCUUAUAUGUUUGAGAAAAGAAAAAAGAGCUCGAUAUGGGUGCAAGGUCACUUGUAUCUCACCUUGCUGCUUUGAGCUUUUGGUGCUGGCACAAGGAUUUGUGCUAGCAGGGAAUCACAACAAAUUUGUAGCCUAUCUGAUAAUGC